CACCACAAGUGGCUGAAGCUGCCAGCAUGAUCUGAUCAUCUCCCAGAUCUGUCUAAACGAAUCAGAUCAUGUGGCCGCUUCAUCUGCUGCGGGG
rnacentral:pre_miRNA from 1 species